AUUGAACGCUGGCGGCGUGCCUAACACAUGCAAGUCGAGCGGUAACAGGUGUAGCAAUACAUGCUGACGAGCGGCGGACGGGUGAGUAACGCUUGGGAAUCUGCCUGUUAGUGGGGGACAACCCGGGGAACUCGGGCUAAUACCGCAUACGCACUACGGUGGAAAGCCGGGACCGCAAGGCCUGGCGCUAACAGAUGAGCCCAAGUCGGAUUAGCUAGUUGGUAGGGUAACGGCCACCAAGGCGACGAUCCGUAACUGGUCUGAGAGGACGACCAGUCACACCGGAACUGAGACACGGUCCGGACUCCUACGGGAGGCAGCAGUGGGGAAUAUUGGACAAUGGGCGAAAGCCUGAUCCAGCGACGCCGCGUGGGUGAAGAAGGCCUGC
rnacentral:rRNA from 1 species